AGUGUUUUCAAGAGGUUUUCUGGAAAUGAGUUGCUUGGGUAUGAUGAUGGUGAUGUGGGUUCAGCUAGGUUUGACAAACCUAUAAGCUUUGCUGUUGAUGUGAGACUUGGACCAAAGUGUCACGGGUCUCUCUAAUUGUUCUCUCCAUUAUUUCAUUCGAUGUUAUAGGAUGCUUAUAUGAAGUUAUAAGAACACAGAGACCUGAUAAUGGCAAAAAAGCGUUGCAAACAUUGCUCUAAGUGAUGCAGCUGGAAAUACCAUUGAAUGUACUCUAUGGGAUCAUUAUGGUUCCCAACUAAUGAAUUACACCCCCUGACAGUGUUGUUGGCCCAAAUAUUGUGAUCCUUACUCAUGCUUUAUGCAGACCAAACACAGGUAUAUUCAGUCAAUACAUCCAUAUUUAUCUGAUAGGUCUUACUGUUAUGAUAUUUGGAAGGUAGGCCCAUCUAUCUUUUCACUCCACUACCUUAUGUUUGUCUCUUUUCUACAUUUGUUAUAGCUCUAAUGUAUGGUUACUACUAGCUUGACAUAUUGGUGCAAAAAUUUAGAAGUUGAAAGAGGAUAGCGAAAGUUAUAUCUCAAACUGUUAUUAAGAAUUUGAGUUUAAUGAAUUUCGUUUCACUAAACAUGUUUCAUUAGAUAUGAUCACUAUGAAUAUUGUGAGCAUGCUUAGAUGAUGAAUGAGUUAUCAUGUAUUACACCUCAUAAAAGACAUGGAGAGCUGAAUUGCGCAACAAAAGAAGAGGAUUUUUAGAUUAAGCUAUGAUGCAUCAUCGAAUAUUCUCAUCCAUGUUAGCAACACCUCUGGUUCUGGCCAUGAGAUUUCCACCAAUGGAAACAGCAUCUGAGCAAGCAUGACAUCAUGGAUAUUUUGGACCAACUUAGCUUUCAUAUCAAGAAUGUAUCAUGUAGACCUGCCUUUCAGUGAAAAUAAAUGUUCUCUAGAUCUAUUUGUUGGUGUAAAAUUCUUUAAGCUUUGAGGUAUUAGAGAAAAUGUUUGAGUGAGAAAUGAA